AAAGCUCGCAAGUGCUACAGCAUGAGAAGAAAGAUAAGAAGAAGAAGAAGAAGAAGUAGGAAAAAUCGCACAAAUUAAUUAAAAUUAAUCUUCAUUUUCACUUU
rnacentral:ribozyme from 14 species